GGGCCCGUAGCGCAGCCUGGACAGCGCAUACAAGUUUAGAUGUGUUUAAACUUGGCUUGACUGCCUUCUAAGCAGAGGGUCGUGAGUUCAAAUCUCAUCGGGCCCG
rnacentral:tRNA from 1 species